AUUGAACGCUGGCGGCAGGCCUAACACAUGCAAGUCGAACGAGUGGCGGACGGGUGAGUAAUGGCUGGGAAACUGCCUGAUGGAGGGCGAUAACUACUGGAAACGGUAGCUAAUACCGCAUACCAUCGGAUGUGCCCAGAUGGGAGUAGCUAGUAGGUGGGGUAAAGGCUCACCUAGGCCACGAUCCCUAGCUGGUCUGAAAGGAUGAACAGACAAACUUGAACGGAGCCACGGUCCAGGAUCCUACGCGAGGCAGCAGUGGGGAAUAUUGCACAAUGUGCGCAAGCCUGAUGCACCCAUGCCGAGUGUAUGAAGAAGGGCUUCGGGUUGUAAAGUACUUUCAGCGGGGAGGCGUUACCCGCAGAAGAAGCACCGGCUAACUCCGUGCCAGCAGCCGCGGUAAUUC
rnacentral:rRNA from 1 species